GCCUCCCUCUCUGACCUUGACGCAGCGGAGGCGCUUACAGCUUCCCCACUGCAAGGGGAAAUCGCGCUCCGGAGGAGCUCUCUGCUCCUUCGAUUCCUUCUCCAUCCGAACAGGCAACCAAUCUAUCAGCCUCAAGCCCAAGGGCGAAGCAAGAUAAAGAUGGUCGCUUCUGACCAGAUUCACGCUCGCACACCAGAAGGAACCGGGAAAUCGCCAAGGGAAAGCGGAAUCGAAGGGGAAGAAGGCUUCCGAAGAAGGUCGAUGGGGAAGGCUGCAGCCUGCAGCUGUUGGUCUUUGCUCGGCUUCCCUCGUGUUCUGUGUACUCGCACGCAGACACCUGCAAGUAUUAAUCAAGGUGUGGAGGUGCAAUUUGGACCGUAGGAUUUCGUAUGGAGGACUGGAUUUAUAUGGAAAAUGCUUUCUUUUGAGCUGUC